UGAUGUAUAAGUGUCCUCUCUACCAGGU
rnacentral:piRNA from 1 species